GAAGAAAUGGAAAAAAGAAAA
rnacentral:rRNA from 1 species